rnacentral:rRNA from 1 species
AGAGUUUUGAAUCUGGCUCAGGAUGAACGCUGGCGGCGUGCUAAUACAUGCAAGUCGAGCGAACAGAUAAGGAGCUUGCUCCUUUGAAGUUAGCGGCGGACGGGUGAGUAACACGUGGGUAACCUACCUAUAAGACUGGGAUAACUUCGGGAAACCGGAGCUAAUACCGGAUAACAUUUAGAACCGCAUGGUUCUAAAGUGAAAGAUGGUUUUGCUAUCACUUAUAGAUGGACCCGCGCCGUAUUAGCUAGUUGGUAAGGUAACGGCUUACCAAGGCGACGAUACGUAGCCGACCUGAGAGGGUGAUCGGCCACACUGGAACUGAGACACGGUCCAGACUCCUACGGGAGGCAGCAGUAGGGAAUCUUCCGCAAUGGGCGAAAGCCUGACGGAGCAACGCCGCGUGAGUGAUGAAGGGUUUCGGCUCGUAAAACUCUGUUAUUAGGGAAGAACAAAUGUGUAAGUAACUGUGCACAUCUUGACGGUACCUAAUCAGAAAGCCACGGCUAACUACGUGCCAGCAGCCGCGGUAAUACGUAGGUGGCAAGCGUUAUCCGGAAUUAUUGGGCGUAAAGCGCGCGUAGGCGGUUUCUUAAGUCUGAUGUGAAAGCCCACGGCUCAACCGUGGAGGGUCAUUGGAAACUGGGAAACUUGAGUGCAGAAGAGGAAAGUGGAAUUCCAUGUGUAGCGGUGAAAUGCGCAGAGAUAUGGAGGAACACCAGUGGCGAAGGCGACUUUCUGGUCUGUAACUGACGCUGAUGUGCGAAAGCGUGGGGAUCAAACAGGAUUAGAUACCCUGGUAGUCCACGCCGUAAACGAUGAGUGCUAAGUGUUAGGGGGUUUCCGCCCCUUAGUGCUGCAGCUAACGCAUAAGCACUCCGCCCUGG